AUCAUGAAACAUGGAAGAACUAUCAGAACAACUCAGCGGGAUUCAUGAAUGGAAGCUGAUGGAAGUGUAAUAGUCACAGUGCUCACAAGUGUUGUUAAAAUUUAUCUGGUCUGGCAAUGGGAAUUUCGUGUUUCAGCCUCAUGUAGUUGGAUGGUACAAUAUGUUGGCAUUAAACCGGAUUCCCUCAUCAGAACAAGUCGCUAGGCCUAAAUUGUGGUUUGCAUUAGAUUUCAAUCUCUGCAUGUUGAAAUAAUUUUGUGCUACAAGGAAAUUUAAUUCUGUGAAUAUUUCUAGAGCUCAUCACCAUUGUUUACCUCAAAUAAAACAGCAAGUUCAGGCUCUUUUUUAUUCAUCUUUAUAGGAACUGCUUACAGAAUCCAGCAGUGAAGGCUGAAGAACAAGUGAACUCAAGCAUUCAAAGUGUCUGCCACACCCCAACCUAAACGACUGCCGAAGACUAAAUAUAUCACUUUUGAAGACAAAUUAUGAAAUUAUGGCCACUGGAAAUAUACGACGUUGAUGCCGGUGACUGUUGGGAUCGUCAGCAGGCAGCCAAGGGUUCGCCGGACAGAAAAGUGGAGUUUGAUGACUUAAAAUCUUUUGACUCGGCUGACCCAAGCCAACACACUUCUGCAACACGAGCCACAAUUGUACUGGGUAAGGCAAUCUUUGAUUGUGUGCAUGUUUUCAUUAAAAAAAAAAAAAAAACUUUAAUUUUCUGUAUUGAUGAAUGAAAUUUCUCUUCUCAGCUCGUUGUUGGAUCUACAAACAAAUAACUGAUCAGUUAUUGAAGGAUAGUGUUUUUAAGGUGGAAAUGGAUGAAAAAUUUAUUAAUCUUUAUUUGUUUUAGCACGAUAAAAUGCUGCAUAUCACCAUAGCGAUGGCACAGGUAUGCUUCAACUCUUCAAUGGCCGAAUUUUAAAUUCAAUUCUCUGGUUGUGGGAACAGUGAGUGUUGGUGAACUAACCUAAUUUGGAUAACAAUAAGCUUGGGUCGGAUCUAUAGAGGAACGUGAUGAUGAUGAGACUAAUGAUAAUUUAACUUUUAUUUUACAAUUGUUACAUCGAAACUUUAAAACAUCUGACAGGAUAAAUUUGUCGUUAUACACUCAUCCACUGAUUCGUGAAAAUGUGUUUGCGUGAAACACUGCUCAGUUGAUUUUGUUUUCUUUCAAUUAUAUUAGUUAUAGGACAUAGGCACAGGACUAAGUAGUAAUUAUACAUUUUAUUAUUUGCAAUGGUCAUAGAUUAUUUCUUACAUUCCAUUCAACUCCUAGAACUGAUUUGAAUCAGAGCGCUACCGACAUAUUCCACUCGAUACGACAUCGAUAAAUACUGUUAUCCAGGCCGUUCGUAGCGGCCAUAAAGGCUCCUUGGAGAACCCUACGCUUUCGCCGCCACGCGGUUGUAGUUCGCGACGUAUGCGUCGAGGAAUGUUAAUCAUUGCGUUUUAGAGGCAUACAGUUGUCUACUCCUACUCGUUUCGCCUUGUGAAUCACAAGUUAUCAAAUUCGUCCGGUAGGAAGGAUUAGGAGCUUCUACUUAGCGAGUUCCUGUAUGCAUACUUACUCAACUGUCUAUACUCGUUGGGAAAUCGUUACUUCAAAGGUUCAUCGCCCCGUACUUAUUUAUAAAAUUGCAUGCAGACUUUUUAUUAUCAUAUGUAGCUUUAUAAUCGAUUGAUGUACGUUGGUACUAAGGUAAUAUUUUUCAGCAUUUAAAAUUUGGUUUCAACAUUAACUGUUGCAAACAUUUUCCAAGAUUGCAGAUUGUAGAUACCCCUUGUGCUUUGAUUUAAAAAAAAGCUACUGGAUCCCACCUAUAAGUAGCUCUACUUCAGACUUCCAGAUAGUAAUUUUACUCCAGGUUAUUGUCAAUUAAUUUCAGCAUUUUUUUUUUUUGCAUAUACCACCUGAUAGGUCGGUAUUACUUUGACGACUGGGAGCGUGUUCCCAGUGCCUGUUUGCGACCUUCCGGUUGUGUAUAUUUUCUAUUUUAAUGGUCGUUUGAAGAUUUGCCAGGUUCCAGAGAUCUGCCAGAAGAGAGCCAUCGUCUGUCUUUCGGUUUCAUCAGUUGUCUUUUCAUCAAUCCAAUCAACAGCGCUGGUGAGUUGUCAGUUACCCUUGCUACCUUCAUGGGAAAACUUUACAGCUACUCUCUUUCAGAAUUCUAGAAUUCAACGAAGAAUCUUGGUAGCAAUUCAGUCUAAACUGUGACAAACGAAUUAUCCGCCAGCAGUCCCGUCCGUUCCUUUGGGAGUCGCGGUCGCAGCAAAAAAAUUUCGACACUCUGUCCACUCGUUUCACCACUCUCAGUCAGCUGGAUGGAUUUGUCUUUAAUUAUUCAGGUACUGCUGGAAGACUCUCAUCAGGACGCCUUCCUUAUUAAGAUGAAGAGUGCUGGAUUGAUUGAAGGCGAAUCAUUGAGAACGAAGGACUGCCAAUCUCGGAACAAAGUGGCUAUUAUCCUGCCCUUCCGGAAUCGCAGUCAACAUUUGACAGUUUUCCUGCACUUCAUGCAUCCGUUCCUUCAGCGACAGCAACUCGACUACACCAUUUUCGUUGUCGAGCAGACCGAUGGAUUACCUUUUAACCGCGGCAUGCUGUUAAAUGUCGGUUUCGUUGAGGCCCAGCGUUCUGACACGUUCCAAUGUUUCAUCUUUCACGAUGUGGAUAUCUUGCCGGAAGACGCCGGAAGAUGACAGCAAUAUUUAUUCGUGUCCGGAUAUCGGCAGACCACGUCACAUGUCUUUCGUUAUCGAUAUUCAUCACCAAGCCAGUGUCGUUAAUGUUCCUUUUCGGGGGUGGAGUCAUUGCUAUUUCGGCCGAUUUCGUCCGUGCCAAUGGUUACUCGAACGCCUUUUGGGGACUGGGAUUGGAUGACGACGAC